GCCUAAGGCGAGGUCGAAAGACGUAGUCGAUGGAUAACAGGUUGAAAUUCCUGUACUAUCCUGUAACAGAACUGUGGGGACACAGGCAGAGAGCGUGAGCCGGGAAUGGAAAGACCGGUACAAGCGAGGUAGGAGAAGAGUUGGCAAAUCCGCUCUUUAAUCUGAAGACGUGAUGUGGACUGAAAAUAAGUAGGGAAGCACGUGAGCUGACUGUCAAGAAAAGCCGCUAUUGUUUGCAGGAUACCCGUACCGUAAACCGACACAGGUGGAUGAGGAGAGAAUCCUAAGGCCGACGGGAGAAGCAUUGUUAAGGAACUCGGCAAAAUGACUCCGUAACUUCGGGAGAAGGAGUGCCAGUAAGAUGGCCGCAGAGAAUUGGCCCAAGCAACUGUUUAGCAAAAACACAGGUCUAUGCAAAACCGAAAGGUGAGGUAUAUGGGCUGACGCCUGCCCGGUGCUGGGAGGUUAAGGGGAGAGGUUAGCGCAAGCGAAGCUUUGAACUUAAGCCCCAGUAAACGGCGGCCGUAACGAUAACGGUCCUAAGGUAGCGAAAUUCCUUGUCGGGUAAGUUCCGACCCGCACGAAAGGCGUAAUGAUUUGGGCACUGUCUCAACAAUGCACCCGGUGAAAUUGAAAUACCAGUGAAGAUGCUGGUUACCUGCGCCAGGACGGAAAGACCCCAUGGAGCUUUACUCCAGCUUGAUACUGGGAUUCGGUAUUGCAUGUACAGGAUAGGUGGGAGGCUAGGAAAUGGUAACGCCAGUUGCCAUGGAGCCAAUGUUGGGAUACCACCCUUGCAGUACUGGGUUUCUAACCAGCAGCCGUGAUCCGGCUGGGGGACAAUGUCAGGUGGGGAGUUUGACUGGGGCGGUCGCCUCCGAAAGGGUAUCGGAGGCGCUCAAAGGUUCCCUCAGAAUGGUUGGAAACCAUUCGAAGAGUGCAAAGGCAGAAGGGAGCUUGACUGCGACACCGACGGGUGGAGCAGGUACGAAAGUAGGACUUAGUGAUCCGGUGGUAUAAAGUGGGAUUGCCAUCGCUCAACGGAUAAAAGCUACCCUGGGAUAACAGGCUUAUCACUCCCAAGAGUUCACAUCGACGGAGUGGUUUGGCACCUCGAUGUCGGCUCAUCGCAUCCUGGGGCUGAAGUAGGUCCCAAGGGUUGGGCUGUUCGCCCAUUAAAGCGGUACGCGAGCUGGGUUCAGAACGUCGUGAGACAGUUCGGUCCCUAUCCGGCGUGGGCGUAAGAUAUUUGAGAGGAGCUGUCCUUAGUACGAGAGGACCGGGAUGGACUGGCCGCUGGUGUAUCUGUUGUCUUACCAAAGGCAUAGCAGAGUAGCCAAGCCGGGAGGGGAUAAACGCUGAAGGCAUCUAAGCGUGAAGCCCCCCUCAAGAUGAGAUAUCUCAUAACGUCAAGUUAGUAAGACCCCUUGAAGACGACGAGGUAGAUAGGGCAGAGGUGGAAGUGUGGUAACACAUGGAGCUGACUGUUACUAAUAGGUCGAGGGCAUAAAC
rnacentral:rRNA from 1 species